rnacentral:rRNA from 1 species
CGCGUAGGUGGCUUGUCAGGUCUGAUGUGAAAUCUUAGGGCUCAACCCUGAACGUGCAUCGGAAACCGGCUUGCUAGAGUCUGGGAGAGGAGAGUGGAAUUCCUGGUGUAGCGGUGAAAUGCGUAGAUAUCAGGAGGAACACCGGUAGCGAAGGCGGCUCUCUGGAACAGUACUGACACUGAGGCGCGAAAGCUAGGGGAGCGAACA